AGCUCUGAGUCCAGCCUGCAAACACCCCAAUAUCACUCUUCGCACAGAGAUACAGGCACUGUGACACUAAGCUGGAGGCAAGGUAUGUGGGGAGGCUGGCCUGGGGAAAUAAAGCUAUUUUUGGAUCCAAUAAAGCUUCCUAAAGCUGAGGCCACCUAAGAGGUAUCCGUCAAAUGCUUACCUUGUAUAGGAUUCUUCUGUGUAUUUUGGUCCAGUGGUCAGCAAGAGGCCGGGAGCUACAGAACUACCCAUCCAGGGCCCCAGGGAAGGUUAAGGACAGGGUUAAACCAGACUUCAAUUCUCAUCAUCCUGAUGCAGCAAGAAGGAAAUGUCUGUUAUCAGUGUGGGUGGGAGUUGUGUUUCCCCUGAAAGGAGUGGAAAUUUCACUGAAAGUCAUCCUGGAAAGAGGCCAGUCUUCGGAGACAGAAAAAAAAAAAAAAAUGAAAAGGCUGGGCGCGGUGGCUAAUACCUAUAAUCCCAGAACUUUGGGACACCAAGGUCUGCUGAUCAC
rnacentral:lncRNA from 10 species